rnacentral:lncRNA from 1 species
AAUGUGUGCAAAGACAUAAAAAUAUAUUGCUGAAUUCUGGGAUGAAUAUAAAUAGGACCAAAGUGAAGCAGGCCUGGAAAGAGGAGUUAGAGUCAGAUUGUGGAUAGCUUUAAAUGUCAGGCUGAUGUGUUUGCUCUUUACCCUUCCUUGAGGGCAUAGGAAUCCACAGAAAAUUUUUGAUCAGGAAAGUGACAUAGAGAGAUACUUUAGGAAGAUGAUUUUGGCAGUUUUGUGAAGAUUAGAUUGGAGAUGGAAGAGGCAGAAUUCAAGGAGACCAUUUAAAGGGCUUUUAUAGUAAUCUAGGUGAGAGGUGAUGAGGACCAGAAAUUGGAUAAGUGUAGAAAAAGUAAUAGCUAAGACUUGGAAACCAGAUUGGCUAAAGGGUGGUAGUUAGGAAGAGGGAAGAGUUAAGGAUGAUUUAUUUGUGUGCCUACCAUUUCCUCCAAGUACUUGUUAACUCCUUACGAACGGGGACUGCAUAUGUCUUUGUAUCCCAGUGCCCAGUAUAAUGCCUUGCUCAAGGGGCUCUUAGUAAAUUUUAUUUCUUGAAUUGAAUUGAUGUGGCUGGGAACUGAAUUUAACUAGAUAACCUGUCAUCUAUAAUAACUGUACUCAGCUGUAGUUCAUAUAGAUGUUUAAGUAAUCAAAGGCAAUUGAGCAAGCUAGCUUCCUUUCCCAGGAAAAGGCAGAAAAGCUGAAAGAAAGAACAUGAAAGGAAGAAAGAAUGAAACAAAAAUAGUAUCCCUCAUUAAUUUCCAUCUCUGAGCCCAGCAGACAGUUUGGCACUGCAAUUUGUCAUCAGAGUUGGCCACAAAAACUAAGAAGGACAAGCAGUAAAUGUGAUUCUUACUUCCAAGAAGUUGAGCAAAGCAGCAACCAUGGCUACUGGAACAAUACCCAACAGACAUGGCAUGCUUUGAAAAGGACAGCCUGAUGCCUGAGCAUGAGAGGACAUCCACAAGGUGCUGGAUAUGGGUAUGUUGGUCUUCUGGGCAACUGCCUUCUCUCCUCUUAGAGAAAGCAAGCAGUUUGGUAUCAAUUAUACAUGUGAAGUCAUGCAAAAUAUAUUUCCAUAAUAGCCAUAAUGCAAAAGAGAAUACAGACUAAAAAGGAGAAAAAUGACGUUAUAAAAAAGUAAGUUACAA